UUUUCCCUGCCUUACUUUCUUCCAAUCCCUGUCUUCAGGAUCACUCCAAGCUGUGUUGCUUCAGAGAGAAGUUGCUAAGAAGGCUUCUGUUGCAAAUGGCACAAGCUGAAUGUUUCCCAGUGCCAGGCAAUCCCUCACCCAAGACAACUUGUACAGGCCCUUCACAUCCUCUUGGUGCUUUUUCAACACAGCAGCUGUACAGGCUGACUUCUGUCAAUCUGUGUUUUCCAAAGCACCAUCUAUUGAAAAGUCUCUUAUUUCUCCAUUAAAUUUUUUGGCACCUUCAUUGAAAAUCAGUCGAGCAUAAAUAUCAUUGACUUAUCUUCCAUGACUUAGUUUUCUCCAUUUCCGUUGAUGGCAAUUCCACCCUUCUGGUGUGCAGCUUUCUCUGGCAUCAACAACAAAACCAUUCACUGGAAGAACACCGCCAGUUACCGGCUUACUUAUAAGCAAAGUGGCACUAA
rnacentral:lncRNA from 1 species